CCCCUAGAUGUUCUGGGCCGCACGCGCGCUACACUGAACAGUUCAACAAGUCUUAACCUUGGCCGAUAGGUCUGGGUAAUCUUUGAACGCUGUUCGUGAUUGGGAUAGACCUUUGCAAUUAUGGGUCUUCAACGAGGAAUUCCUAGUAAACGCAAGUCAUCAGCUUGCAUUGAUUACGUCCCUGCCCUUUGUACACACCGCCCGUCGCACCUACCGAUUGAAUGGUCCGGUGAAAUCUCGGGACGGCGGCUUGGUCGCUUGCGUCCGACUGCUGAAACUUGAUUAAACCAUAUCAUUUAGAGGAAGGCGAANUCGUAACA
rnacentral:rRNA from 1 species